UACGUAGGUGGCGAGCGUUGUCCGGAUUUACUGGGCGUAAAGGGCGCGUAGGCGGCAGAUCAAGUCAGCUGUGAAAUCUCCGAGCUUAACUCGGAACUGUCAGCUGAUACUGUUUUGCUAGAGUGCGGAAGGGGCAAUCGGAAUUCUUGGUGUAGCGGUGAAAUGCGUAGAUAUCAAGAGGAACACCUGAGGUGAAGACGGGUUGCUGGGCCGACACUGACGCUGAGUGCGCGAAAGCCAGGGGAGCAAACGGG
rnacentral:rRNA from 1 species